rnacentral:rRNA from 1 species
AGAGUUUGAUCAUGGCUCAGGAUGAACGCUGGCGGCGUGCUUAACACAUGCAAGUCGAGCGAGAAAUCGGGAAAUGAAGCUUCGGUAGAUUUGAACGAUGGAAAGCGGCGGACGGGUGAGUAACACGUGGGAAACCUGCCUUUUGCAGAGGGACAGCCGAGGGAAACUUCGAUUAAUACCUCAUAACGCAUCAUCGUCGCAUGGCGGAGAUGCCAAAGAUUUAUCGGCAAGAGAUGGUCCCGCGUCUGAUUAGCUGGUUGGUGAGGUAGCGGCUCACCAAGGCGACGAUCAGUAGCCGGCCUGAGAGGGUGAACGGUCACAUUGGAACUGAGACACGGUCCAGACUCCUACGGGAGGCAGCAGUGGGGAAUAUUGCACAAUGGGCGCAAGCCUGAUGCAGCAACGCCGCGUGAAGGAUGAAGGCCUUCGGGUCGUAAACUUCUGUCCAAAGGGAAGAACAAAUGACGGUACCUUUGGAGGAAGCCCCGGCUAACUACGUGCCAGCAGCCGCGGUAAUACGUAGGGGGCAAGCGUUAUCCGGAAUUACUGGGCGUAAAGAGUGCGUAGGUGGCACUGUAAGCGCAGGGUUUAAGGCAACGGCCCAACCGUUGUUUGCCCUGCGAACUGCAGAGCUUGAGUGCAGGAGGRRAARKWGRAAUUCCUAGUGUAGCGGUGAAAUGCGUAGAUAUUAGGARGAAMMMYCGGUGGCGAAGGCGACUUUCUGGACUGUAACUGACACUGAGGCACGAAAGCGUGGAGUAGCAAACAGGAUUAGAUACCUCUGGUAGUCCACGCCGUAAACGAUGAGCACUAGGUGUCGGGCUCGCAAGAGUUCGGUGCCGGAGCAAACGCAUUAAGUGCUCCGCCUGGGGAGUACGCACGCAAGUGUGAAACUCAAAGGAAUUGACGGGGACCCGCACAAGCAGCGGAGCAUGUGGUUUAAUUCGAAGCAACGCGAAGAACCUUACCAGGGCUUGACAUCCUCCUGACGUAUCGGGUAAUGCUGAUAUUCUCUUCGGAGCAGGAGUGACAGGUGGUGCAUGGUUGUCGUCAGCUCGUGUCGUGAGAUGUUGGGUUAAGUCCCGCAACGAGCGCAACCCCUGUUACUAGUUGCCAUCAUUGAGUUGGGCACUCUAGUGAGACUGCCGGGGACAACCCGGAGGAAGGCGGGGAUGACGUCAAAUCAUCAUGCCCCUUAUGCUCUGGGCGACACACGUGCUACAAUGGCUGUCACAGAGGGAUGCGAAGGAGCGAUCCGGAGCGAAACCCUAAAGGCAGUCCCAGUUCGGACUGCAGGCUGAAACCCGCCUGCACGAAGUCGGAGUUGCUAGUAAUCGCGGAUCAGAAUGCCGCGGUGAAUGCGUUCCCGGGUCUUGUACACACCGCCCGUCACACCAUGGAAGCUGGGGGUGCCCGAAGUCGGUCGCUAAUCAGACUGCCUAAGGCAAAACCAGUGACUGGGGUGAAGUCGUAACAAGGUAACCGUA